AUUGAACGCUGGCGGCAUGCCUUACACAUGCAAGUCGAACGGCAGCACGGGUGCUUGCACCUGGUGGCGAGUGGCGAACGGGUGAGUAAUACAUCGGAACAUGUCCUGUAGUGGGGGAUAGCCCGGCGAAAGCCGGAUUAAUACCGCAUACGAUCUACGGAUGAAAGCGGGGGACCUUCGGGCCUCGCGCUAUAGGGUUGGCCGAUGGCUGAUUAGCUAGUUGGUGGGGUAAAGGCCUACCAAGGCGACGAUCAGUAGCUGGUCUGAGAGGACGACCAGCCACACUGGGACUGAGACACGGCCCAGACUCCUACGGGAGGCAGCAGUGGGGAAUUUUGGACAAUGGGCGAAAGCCUGAUCCAGCAAUGCCGCGUGUGUGAAGAAGGCCUUCGGAUUGUAAAGCACUUUUGUCCGGAAAGAAAUCCUUGGCCCUAAUACGGUCGGGGGAUGACGGUACCGGAAGAAUAAGCACCGGCUAACUACGUG
rnacentral:rRNA from 1 species